GCCUUAUCUUCUGCGCGCUCCAACCAUCGUGAUUCUCAGCCGCCGUCUUCCAUCUCCGAAUCUCUCUGCAUGCUCGAUGGUGCUCCCAUGGUGCGCGCCUCCUCUGCGCGUCCAUCCCCUCUUCUCCCUUCUCCUCAAGCUCACUCCAUCCCUGACGCACGCUCCUUCUCCUUUUCCCCAGCCGAGGCCCCUGCGCGACCGAGCUCCCCCAGCUCCCUCCACAUGGCCGAGCGCCCUCCCGGCCUCUAGCCUUCUUCCCUGCGCACGGCCCGCCCCAGCUCGGACUUCCCCUCUGCCCAGUCGCUCAGCUCCGAUCGUCCAUGGAGCGCCCCCAUGGCCGUGGCCGCGAUGGUCGGGGGCCGGCCGUCGUGUGCCCCUGCAGCGUGCCCUCGUCGUCUUCCCAGCGUCACGCACGCGAGCUCAGCGUCCAUCUCCAGCUCGUCGAAUCCCCUUGCUUCUCCCUCCUUCUGCCUGUUUUCAAAUAUGUUAUGCGCGUGUCAGCUCCGUUGCUGUUGUUGCGGUGUGGGGUACUAUUGGUAGAUCAAGGCCGCCGAGUCCGACCCGCUACUCUGCGUGCAGUGGCGCCCCUCUGCUCGGCUAUGGCCCCCGCGUACCAUACCGUCCGAAUCCCCGCUCCUGCUCCGGCUUAUCUGCGCCACCGCCGCAUCACUUCUCUCCUUGGCGCUCGCCCUUGGUGCUGGCCACGUGCUACUCGUCCGGCUCGGCCACGACCUCGCCGUCGUUCCUCAGCUCGCUACGCGCCCUGCUUCACUGUGUCGAUCUGCCCAUCUCCCUGAGUCCGUGCACGUGUGCAGCUUCCUCAAGUCGCCGUGUGCCCAGCUCGCUCCAGCUCGCCGAUCAAGCUUCUCCCUCGCGCUCGGAUCCGGUCAUUAACGCCCAGCCAUGUGUUCUUUUUCCCCCAGCUCGUGGGUGUCGUCGUUCCGUGUGCUUGGCCCUCAGAGUUCGCCAGCCAUCAUGACAUCCCCGUCUAUCGCGCAUUCGCGCCAUGCUUCGGUUGUUGAUCUACGCAGUUCCUGUUCGACAAUCGGUUCCGUCUCCGUCGAACUCCUAUUCGCCAUCCCGCCGAGCUCCUUCAACACUGCCCCAACCCGUAGUCGUUGUUCCGUCGCCUUGCUUCGACGCCUGUCCCUAUGUGAUGCCUCUGAAUUGUGAUCGCGCGGACAAAAGCAUCCCCAAGAGAAGAUGUCCAAAGAUUGGAUGGUGAUGUGCGUGAAGUUCGUAUAGUACCUACCAAGCGCUCGACAAAAUUGCCUGGAUCGGAAAAUCAUUACCAAUCUCGUGGAUUCGAGUCAAAUAUUGGAAUAGUGAGCUAAUUUGCUAUUUUAUUGACUGGUUUGAUGGAUGAAUUGAUAGGUGUGUACGUUGCGAUGAUUAUCCCGCUUGUAGCUCAGGCACGUAUUUAUUUGAUGCUUGUAGAAAUACGGGGCUACAGGUAGC
rnacentral:misc_RNA from 1 species